rnacentral:rRNA from 1 species
GAUGAACGCUGGCGGCGUGCCUAAUACAUGCAAGUCGAGCGAACAGAUAAGGAGCUUGCUCCUUUGACGUUAGCGGCGGACGGGUGAGUAACACGUGGGUAACCUACCUAUAAGACUGGGAUAACUUCGGGAAACCGGAGCUAAUACCGGAUAACAUUUGGAACCGCAUGGUUCUAAAGUGAAAUAUGGUUUUGCUAUCACUUAUAGAUGGACCCGCGCCGUAUUAGCUAGUUGGUAAGGUAACGGCUUACCAAGGCAACGAUACGUAGCCGACCUGAGAGGGUGAUCGGCCACACUGGAACUGAGACACGGUCCAGACUCCUACGGGAGGCAGCAGUAGGGAAUCUUCCGCAAUGGGCGAAAGCCUGACGGAGCAACGCCGCGUGAGUGAUGAAGGGUUUCGGCUCGUAAAACUCUGUUAUUAGGGAAGAACAAACGUGUAAGUAACUGUGCACGUCUUGACGGUACCUAAUCAGAAAGCCACGGCUAACUACGUG